AGCUUCACCUAAGAUGCUUCCGCUACUCCGCACACCUUUUGGAAAUUUAGUUGUUUAUAUUCCAUCAUAUGUUGUAAAUUGAGUUAUAAAUCUUCCGCACUCCGAUGUAAGUUAUUUUUGUAACAAAUGAUGUAAUGUUGUGGUAACUCCAUGUUGAUCCUGUAUGAGUUAAAAUGUGGAUGAUUCGGGGUCCUCUAAGGGCACCCGACAGACUACCUGGGUUAUAUGACUCUCAUGUGCAGUAAUCAGAGGUCUUAAUGACAAUGAUAGGUGCAUGUGGGCCAUAUAAUUUAGGUGGUUCUGCCACAAUCAGUCUACUGUGGAUUCUACUUCUGCAAGUUCAUGAGAGAGGGCGGAAGAUAUGUCACUAACCCUUAUAAGCAAAAGGACUUUGAAAAGGCAAAGAGCGUGAGUGAAGCCACUUUAUACAACAUAGUUGAAGGACAUCUGCUCAUUCAUCUUGAGAGAAGUUAUUCCCAGCGAAGGAAAAUAUCACGAUCGGACUAGUACCCUAGCAAAGCCUGAACAUGGAGCGCUAAGGGAGAUUAGUAGGCUAAAACUAACUCGAUCCGGUUAUUAGAGCAGAGGUUUCAGAGGUGAAACCUCUGAUGUAUGUAAACUGGAAAAAACUUGUUGUGUGAUGUUUGUAAUUAAUGUAACUUUAUGUAUAAA